rnacentral:sRNA from 1 species
UAGUGUUGUCUCUACAGAGGUGAUUAGUGCUCAUGCUAUUUCAGUGUUAACACAUAUAUCUCUCUAUAUAUACACAUGUAGUAGGCAUUUGGAGAUCUGAGUGAUUCUCGUUCAGAAUUUCUGUUUUCUUUAUUUAUUUACCGUUUUUCUGUAUAACAUUUUUUGUUACAAUUUUGGGUUCAUCUGUUAAGAGAGAAAAAAAAAACAAAGUUAAAUAUACAUCAUAUUGUUUAUGCAUUCUAGUCUGUAGCUCUUUUUUGUUUCUCAUUUCUUAUAUAUUUUGUGUUUGUUAUAUGACUCCUCAUGAAAAGUGAAUAAAGCCACAUUAUUAC